rnacentral:misc_RNA from 1 species
GAUGAAGAACGCAGCGAAAUGCGAUACGUAAUGUGAAUUGCAAAUUCAGUGAAUCAUCGAGUCUUUGAACGCACAUUGCGCCCCCUGGUAUUCCGGGGGGCAUGCCUGUCCGAGCGUCAUUGCUGCCCUCAAGCACGGCUUGUGUGUUGGGCCCCGUCCUCCGAUUCCGGGGGACGGGCCCGAAAGGCAGCGGCGGCACCGCGUCCGGUCCUCGAGCGUAUGGGGCUUUGUCACCCGCUCUGUAGGCCCGGCCGGCGCUUGCCGAUCAACCCAAAUUUUUAUCCAGGUUGACCUCGGAUCAGGUAGGGAUACCCGCUGAACUUAAGCAUAUCAAUAAGGGAGGA